UACAGAGGUCUCAAGCGUUGUUCGGAUUCAUUGGGCGUAAAGGGUGCGUAGGCGGCGCGGUAAGUCGGGUGUGAAAUUUCGAGGCUUAACUUCGAAACUGCAUUCGAUACUGCGGUGCUUGAGGACUGGAGAGGAGAGUGGAAUUCCUGGUGUAGCGGUGAAAUGCGCAGAUAUCAGGAAGGAACACCCGGUGGCGAAAGGCGGACUCUCGUCGGAACUCGGUACUGACGGCUGAGACGACGAAAGCGUGGGGGAGCGAAACAGG
rnacentral:rRNA from 1 species